rnacentral:piRNA from 1 species
UGUAGGAUAAUGCACUUCCUAUCC